CACGUAGGGCGCAAGCGUUGUCCGGAAUUAUUGGGCGUAAAGAGCUCGUAGGCGGUCUGUUGCGUCCGCUGUGAAAACUCGGGGCUUAACCCCGAGCCUGCAGUGGAUACGGGCAGACUAGAGGUAGGUAGGGGAGAAUGGAAUUCCCGGUGUAGCGGUGAAAUGCGCAGAUAUCGGGAGGAACACCGGUGGCGAAGGCGGUUCCCUGGGCCUUACCUGACGCUGAGGAGCGAAAGCGUGGGGAGCAAACGGG
rnacentral:rRNA from 1 species